GGAGAUAGAAACUUAACUAAGGCGCUAUAGAGAUAGUACCGCAAGGGAAAGAUGAAAGAUGCAACAACAGUGUAAAAAAGCAAAGAUUAGCCCUUGUACCUUUUGCAUAAUGAACUAGCCAGAACAAACCUAGCAAAGAGAACUUCAGUUAGAUACCCUGAAACCAGACGAGUGACUUAUGAACAGCUAGACGAGCUACUUACGAACAGCUAGUAGAGCAAAUUCAUCUAUGUAGCAAAAUAGUGAAGUUAUUUGUAAGUAGAGGUGACAAGCCAACCGAGCCUGGUGAUAGCUGGUUGUCAGUAUAGAAUCUCAGUUCAACUUUAAGUCCCUACCCAGAGAGAAAUAAAUCUUAAUGCAGGCUUAAAUGUUAGUCUAAGGGGGUACAGCUCCUUAGAACCAGGAAAAAACCUUAAUUAGAGAGUAAAAAAUUACUAAGCCAUAGUUGGCCUAAAAGCAGCCACCAAUUGAAAAAGCGUUCAAGCUCAACAGUAAAAUACUAUAGUAAUACCAUAAUUCACAGCUAACUCCUAAGCCCCAACUGGACUAAUCUACAUACAUGUAGAUGAAAUACUGCUAGCAUGAGUAACAAGAAAUAAUUCUCCCUGCACAAGCCUAUAUCAGAUCGGAUGCCCACUGAUAGUUAACAAUAUAAUAAGACACAAACCAAACUCAAGAGUACUUAUUUUAUAAAUUGUUGACCCAACACCGGAGUGCACAAACCUUAAGGGAAAGAUUAAAAAGAGUAAAAGGAACUCGGCAAACACAAACCCCGCCUGUUUACCAAAAACAUCACCUCUAGCAUAAAAAGUAUUAGAGGCACUGCCUGCCCAGUGACAUAAGUUAAACGGCCGCGGUAUCCUGACCGUGCAAAGGUAGCAUAAUCAUUUGUUCCUUAAAUAGGGACUUGUAUGAAUGGCCACACGAGGGUUUAACUGUCUCUUACUCUCAAUCAGUGAAACUGACCUUUCCGUGAAGAGGCGGGAAUAUAAAAAUAAGACGAGAAGACCCUAUGGAGCUUUAAUUAACUAACUCACAUACAAUAAUACACAACUCAAUAGAGAAUAAACAAUGUAUUCUGAGUUAGAAAUUUCAGUUGGGGUGACCUCGGAGAAUAGAAAAUCCUCCGAAACAAACAAGCCUAGACAUGACAAGUCAAAGCACUUUAUUAAGGAAAUUUCACAACAAGUUGAUCAAUGGAACCAGUUACCCUAGGGAUAACAGCGCAAUCCUAUUCUAGAGUCCAUAUCGACAAUAGGGUUUACUAUACUACCUCGAUGUUGGAUCAGGACAUCCCAAUGGUGCAACCGCUAUUAAUGGUUCAUUUGUUCAAUGAUUAAAGUACUACAUGAUCUGAGUUCAGACCGGAGUAAUCCAGGUCAGUUUCUAUCUAUUAGCUGUCCCUCCCAGUACAAAAGGACAAGAGGAACAAGGCCAAUUCACCAAGCACGCCUUAAACUUAAUAGAUGAAUUAAUCUCAAUCUAAUCAGUUAUCAAUAACCCUGCCCAAGAGCAGGGCUUGUUAAGGUGGCAGAGCCCGGUUAUUGCCUA
rfam:Tupaia chinensis contig220314, whole genome shotgun sequence.